rnacentral:rRNA from 1 species
GAUGAACGCUGGCGGCGUGCCUAAUACAUGCAAGUCGAGCGAACAGACGAGGAGCUUGCUCCUCUGACGUUAGCGGCGGACGGGUGAGUAACACGUGGAUAACCUACCUAUAAGACUGGGAUAACUUCGGGAAACCGGAGCUAAUACCGGAUAAUAUAUUGAACCGCAUGGUUCAAUAGUGAAAGACGGUUUUGCUGUCACUUAUAGAUGGAUCCGCGCCGCUUUAGGUGGUUGGUAAGGUAACGGCUUACCAAGGGGACGAUGCGUAGCCGACCUGAGAGAGUGAUCGGCCACACUAGAACUGAGACACGGUCCAGACUCCUACGGGAGGCAGCAGUAGGGAAUCUUCCGCAAAGGGCGAAAGCCUGGCGGAGCAACGCCGCGUGAGUGAUGAAGGUCUUCGGAUCGUAAAACUCUGUUAUGAGGGAAGAACAAAUGUGUAAGUAACUAUGCACGUCUUGACGGUACCUAAUCAGAAAGCCACGGCUAACUACGUG